rnacentral:rRNA from 1 species
UACGUAGGUGGCGAGCGUUGUCCGGAAUUACUGGGUGUAAAGGGCGCGUAGGCGGUCUUGCAAGUCCCGUGUGAAAUCCCUCGGCUCAACUGAGGAAUGGCACGGGAAACUGCUUGGCUUGAGUUCGGGAGAGGGAAGCGGAAUUCCGGGUGUAGCGGUGAAAUGCGUAGAUAUCCGGAGGAACACCGGAGGCGAAGGCGGCUUACUGGGCCUUUCUGACGCUGAGGAACGAAAGCUAGGGAGCGAACGG